AUGGAGUGCAGGUGGGUUGGAGCACAGAUGAAGCCCCGGUCCAACCUGGGCAUUCCUGCAGCCAUGUGCAGUGACCCUUGUGUAUGUGAGUACCUGUCAUGUGCCCACGUAUCCUGGUGGCACAAAAGGUACUUCAUGUAGAUUGUCAGGACCAAGACACAGAACGUUCUUGGGGCACACCACAAUAAUUCCCCCACUAGCAUUCACCUUAAGAUGAAAGAAUUUUUUUCUAGUUGAUGUGGAUUCCCCAGAUUUAUCUCAUUUCAUGAUGUCUUCGGAAUUGCAUGUUGUGCCACCAUCACACUUCACACUCUCAGUAAGGAGCUCUCAGUUGUCUCACCUGUUAUUGCUCCUCUUUAUUGUAAACGAUGUCCUAUAAAGAAGAUAUAUGUCUACAAUUGAGCUUUGAAGGAGGACCAUGGAGCCAGUUCCUUUUAAGGGGAAUGAAGUCAAGCAGUAAAUUUGCUGGUCACUCUUUUCAUAUGGACCGCAUCUCAGCCAGCAGUUGGUCUUUGAUGUUGUAACAAUGGCACUGGGACCUGAGGCAGAGGAGCACCCCCAUAAUACUGAAACCAGCCUGCAUUCAUUCUAAUUUGGAGAACAAUCUGUGGGAUAGUACGCACAUCAGGGAGCCCAGAGAGUGAACUCCAGG
rnacentral:lncRNA from 1 species